GCCAGGCGCUGUGGCAGGCGCCUGUAAUCCCAGCUACUCAGGAGGCUGAGGCAGAAGAAUCGCUUGAACCCAGGCAGCAGAGGUGGCGGUGAGCUGAGAUCACGCCACUGCACUUCAGCCUGGGCGAUAGAGUGAGACUCUGUCUCAA
rfam:Pan troglodytes isolate Yerkes chimp pedigree #C0471 (Clint) chromosome 3, whole genome shotgun sequence.